rnacentral:rRNA from 1 species
GACAGAGGUGCCGAGCGUUAGGCGGAAUCACUGGGCUUAAAGCGUGUGUAGGCGGCCCGUUAAGUGUCCGAGUGAAAUCCCCCCGGCUCAACCGGGGGAACCGCCGGGCAUACUGGCGGGCUUGGGCCGCUCAGGGGCAGACGGAACAGGCGGUGGAGCGGUGAAAUUCGUAGAUAUUCGGAGGAACACCAGUGGCGAAGGCGGCUCACUGGCUCGGUACUGACGCUGAGGUGCG